rnacentral:tRNA from 1 species
GCAGCGGUGGUUCAGUGGUAGAAUUCUCGCCUUCCAUGCAGGAGACCUGGGUUCAAUUCCUGGCCAGUGAA